AAGGACGAGAAAUUAGAACCCAUUCAUAAUGAGGUACCAGUGAGCUUUGAGAAGUGAGAGAAUAUAGCUAGGAGUUGUAGCAGAAAACUCAAAGUUAAGGAUCAAUCUAAAGGUGACGAGAUUUAGUAGGAUUAAGAUGGGGGAUAAACCACAGUGCUUUUUUUUUUUGGAUACUAUCUGUAUUUCUAAUUGGACACAUGGAAUAAAAUAAAAACCCAAAUGACUAUGUUUGUUUAUUUUUAAUAAACAUUUGGUACCCAAUUA